rnacentral:misc_RNA from 1 species
AUAAACCUGGCCAUACUUCAAUAUACCUGUUUCAUCUAGGCAUCCUACUAGAAUUCGACCUUUUGGAAUGAAUAUACGACACCUACUUCUUAGGUCUGAAAUUUGAUUCUCAAAAUGUGAUUGAAGCAUCAUCGAGAGAUAAGGCUCCUGAUUGGGUGCGUAUCCUUGGAGCAACAUCCUCAUUAAGAUUUUUUUUACUUCACCACCACCCAUGCUCUCCAAAACAUCUAAAGCUGCCUCAUUAGUGGUCAACAUCUUGCCCAGAAGACAAAGAUGAUUAUCUAGCAGGUCUUCAAAAGCUUUAUCUUCAACUCCCAAAGUAGAUAAAAGGAUAACAAUCUCCCGAUUCAGAUAGCAAGGCAUGGCAUCACUCCACUUGGUAAUAUUAAGCAUCCUGUUCUUUGAUUCAAAUUUGAGCAUACUGCCACGAAGAGAUAGCUUUCGAAAGGAAUUGCGGUCAACAGCUAUCACACCUUUAUAACCACCAUAUCUUAUUUGAAAUGCUGAUGGGGUAUGAUUCAAUCCACAUUUCUGAGCAACUUGUCGGGCAAAAGCUUGGGAAAUCUUUCCAAUACCAUCUGAGAAGCAAUAACUAACACCAUCAGAGGUUACUUCAAUAUCUGGAAGAAUCUCAACAUGCUGCAAUUUAACCUCCAUUGUUUGAACAGAGGUGCUAAACAGUUGACCCAUCCUUGCAGCACAUUUUGAGAUACUACGGAU